rnacentral:rRNA from 1 species
UACGAAGGGGGGCUAGCGUUGUUCGGAAUUACUGGGCGUAAAGCGCGCGCAGGCGGUCUUCCAAGUCAGUGGUGAAAGCCCGGAGCUCAACUCCGGAACUGCCAUUGAAACUGUUAGACUUGAGGACGAGAGAGGUGAGUGGAAUUCCCAGUGUAGAGGUGAAAUUCGUAGAUAUUGGGAAGAACACCGGUGGCGAAGGCGGUCUCAUCGUGGCUCGUAUCUGGACGCUCAGGCGCGACAGCGUGGGGAUCGAAACAGG